AUUGAACGUUGGCGGCAUGGAUUAGGCAUGCAAGUCGAGCGAGAAGUGUAGCAAUACACGGAAAGCAGCGGAAGGGAGAGUAAUACGUGGGAAUCUGCCCUUAGACCUGGGAUAGCAGCGGGAAACUGCUGGUAAUACCAGAUAAUGUCUAUGGACCAAAGGUGUGAUUCCGUCUAGGGAUGAGCCCACGUCCUAUUAGCUAGUUGGUAGGGUAAUGGCCUACCAAGGCGAUGAUGGGUAGCGGGUGUGAGAGCAUGACCCGCCUCACUGGGACUGAGACACUGCCCAGACACCUACGGGUGGCUGCAGUCGAGAAUCUUCGGCAAUGGGCGCAAGCCUGACCGAGCGAUGCCGCGUGCGGGAUGAAGGCCUUCGGGUUGUAAACCGCUGUCGAGGGGGAGCAACUUCCAUAGAGUUAUCUUUAUGGAUUGAGUGAUCCCUGGAGGAAGGACGGGCUAAGUUCGUGCCAGCCGCCGCCGUAAUAC
rnacentral:rRNA from 1 species